rnacentral:rRNA from 1 species
ACUCCUACGGGAGGCAGCAGUGGGGAAUAUUGCACAAUGGGGAAACCCUGAUGCAGCCAUGCCGCGUGUGUGAAGAAGGCCUUCGGUUGUAAAGCACUUUCAGUAGGGAGGAAGGUAGUGUAGUUAACACCUGCACUAUUUGACGUUACCUACAGAAGAAGCACCGGCUAACUCCGUGCCAGCAGCCGCGGUAAUACGGAGGUGCGAGCGUUAAUCGGAAUUACUGGGCGUAAAGCGCAUGCAGGCGGCCUGUUAAGUCAGAUGUGAAAGCCCGGGGCUUAACCUCGGAAUUGCAUUUGAAACUGGCAGGCUAGAGUCUUGUAGAGGGGGUAGAAUUUCAGGUGUAGCGGUGAAAUGCGUAGAGAUCUGAAGGAAUACCAGUGGCGAAGGCGGCCCCUGGACAAAGACUGACGCUCAGAUGCG